GACGAACGCUGGCGGCGUGCUUAACACAUGCAAGUCGAACGGAAAGGCCCUGCUUUUGUGGGGUGCUCGAGUGGCGAACGGGUGAGUAACACGUGAGUAACCUGCCCUUGACUUUGGGAUAACUUCAGGAAACUGGGGCUAAUAUCGGAUAGGAGAUCCUGCUGCAUGGUGGGGGUUGGAAAGUUUCGGCGGUUGGGGAUGGACUAGCGGCUUAUCAGCUUGUUGGUGGGGUAGUGGCUGACCAAGGCUUUGACGGGUAGGCGGCCUGAGAGGGUGACCGGCGACAUGGGGACUAAGAGACGGCCCAGACUGCUACGGGAGGCAGCAGGGGGGAAUAUUGCACAAUGGGCGCAAGCCGGAUGCAGCAGCGCCGCGUGCGGGAUGACGGCCUUCGGGGUGUAAACCGCUUUCGCCUGUGACGAAGCGGGAGUGACGGUAACGGGUAAAGAAGCACCGGCUAACUACGUG
rnacentral:rRNA from 1 species